rnacentral:rRNA from 1 species
UACGAAGGGGGCGAGCGUUGUUCGGAAUUACUGGGCGUAAAGCGCGCGUAGGCGGUCUUCCAAGUCAGUGGUGAAAGCCCGGAGCUCAACUCCGGAAAUGCCAUUGAAACUGUGAGACUGGAGUACGAGAGAGGUGAGUGGAAUUCCCAGUGUAGAGGUGAAAUUCGUAGAUAUUGGGAAGAACACCGGUGGCGAAGGCGGCUCACUGGCCCGUAACUGACGCUCAUGCACGAAAGCGUGGGGAUCAAACAGG